GACAGAGGUCCCAAGCGUUGUUCGGAUUCAUUGGGCGUAAAGGGUGCGUAGGUGGCAUGGUAAGUCGGGUGUGAAAUCCCGGGGCUCAACCCCGGAACUGCACUCGAUACUGCCGUGCUCGAGUACUGGAGAGGAGACUGGAAUUUACGGUGUAGCAGUGAAAUGCGUAGAUAUCGUAAGGAAGACCGGUGGCGAAGGCUAGUCUCUGGACAGUUACUGACACUGAGGCACGAAGGUCAGGGGAGCAAACGGG
rnacentral:rRNA from 1 species